CUCACAGUCACACACAUGCUUACUACAGACAAGCUCACGGCAAACACAUGCUCACCCCAGACAAGCUCAGACACACUCAUGCUCUCUACAGACACGCUCUUUAACACGCACACAUGAUCCCUACAGACAAGCUCACUGACACACAUACAAGCUCACUCACUAGCAAACAAACAAAGUUCACUCACUAGCAGGCACACACACACACACACACACAAGCUCAC